rnacentral:rRNA from 1 species
GUUGGAUUUCUGUGGGGACGGAGCGGCCGGCCGCAACUUGCGGUUCGAGCUAGCGCUUUCCCUACAUCCUGCCGCGAACCGUGCUACCAUUAAUUUGGUGGCGCCGGGGAUCGGCUCGUUUACUUUGAGAAAAAUAGAGUGUUCAAAGCAGGCCACACGCCUUGAAUAAGUUAGCAUGGAAUAAUAAUAAAGGACUUCGGUUCUAUUUUGUUGGUGUUCGGGACUGAAGUAAUGAUUGAUAGGGACAGUUGGGGCGGUCAGUAUUCCAAAGCGAGAGGUGAAAUUCUUAGACCUUCGGAAGACUAACAGCUGCGAAAGCGUUCCGCAAGGAUGUUCCCUUUGAUCAAGAACGAAAGUUGGGGGAUCGAAGACGAUCAGAUACCGUCGUAGUCUCAACUAUAAACUAUACCAGCUAGGGAUCGGCCAACGUUAAAUUAUUCGACUUGGUCGGCACCUUAUGAGAAAUCAAAGCAUCUGGGUUCCGGGGGGAGUAUGGUCGCAAGGCUGAAACUUAAAGGAAUUGACGGAAGGGCACCACCAGCCGUGGAGCCUGUGGCUUAAUUUGACUCAACACGGGAAAACUUACCAGGUCCAGACAUAGUAAGGAUUGACAGAUUGAUAGCUCUUUCUUGAUUCUGUGGGUGGUGGUGCAUGGCCGUUCUUAGUUGGUGGAGUGAUUUGUCUGGUUAAUUCCGUUAACGAACGAGACCCCAGCCUGCUAAAUAGCGUGGUUGAGCUUUGCUCGGCGCAAGCUUCUUAGAGGGACUAUGAUGCGCGAUAGCACAUGGAAGUUUGGGGCAAUAACAGGUCUGUGAUGCCCUUAGAUGUUCUGGGCCGCACACGGGCUACACUGGCGCCUGCAACGAGCAUAUCAGCUGGCCCGAGAGGGUCUUGGCUAAUCUUUUGAACCGGCGCCGUGCUUGGGAUUGACCAUUGCAAUUGUUGGUCAUGCAACGAGGAAUGCCUUGUAAACGCGAGUCAUCACUCGCAUUGAAUACGUCCCUGCCCUUUGUA